ensembl:lincRNA
GAAACAACGACCACGGAGCUGCUCAAUUUGUCUGGUACAUGGACCCAUGGCUCCUGAGAGGUGGGAAGGGGCUGCCUGCAUCCGUGGGCCCUGAAUCACCACAUAGAGGAAGAUGCCUCUGCUUCUCGAUGUUGGAGGUGGGAAGAAAGCAAGGGCAGGACAAUGCCCUCCAGGAGAUGCCAAUGUGGAUGAAUUUAGCCUGCAGUACAGGCCCUCAUCCGGUUUCUAUCAUCACUGAAGUCUACUCCAGGCCAAUGAGUUUCUGA